GUCAAGUCAUCAUGGCCCUUAUGUCCAGGGCUACACACGUGCUACAAUGGGCGGUACAGAGCGAAGCGAGUCCGCAAGGGCCAAGCGAAUCGCGGAAAGCCGCCCGUAGUCCGGAUUGAAGUCUGAAACCCGACUUCAUGAAGCUGGAAUCGCUAGUAAUCGCGCAUCAGCAUGGCGCGGUGAAUACGUUCCCGGGCCUU
rnacentral:rRNA from 1 species